GGAGGUAGUGACAAUAAAUCACAAUGCGGGACUGUUAGUCUUGCAAUUGGAUUGAGAACAACGUACAACUCUUAUCGAUAAGCCAUUGGAGGGCAAGUCUGGUGCCAGCAGCCGCGGUAAUUCCAGCUCCAAUAGCGUAUAUUAACGUUGUUGCAGUUAAAAAGCUCGUAGUUGAAGUGAGGGAGUGUGUAGUAGGACCGACUUGAUCGGAACUGCUGCAACCUCCCCCCUCCAAUCGGUGUAGUGGGGUAUUCAGUUAUUCUACUACUCCUUUGGUCGUUUACUGUGAGAAAACUAGAGUGUUCAAAGCGGGCGUUUGUUUGAAUAGAUUAGCAUGGAAUAAUGAUUGAAGGCUUUCGUGUUCGAUUUGAUUGGUUUGUUCAUGGAAGCAAGGUUAAAAGGAACAGUUGGGGGUAUUCAUAUUCACUAGUUAGAGGUGAAAUUCUCGGAUUUAUGGAAGAUGAACAAGUGCGAAAGCA
rnacentral:rRNA from 1 species